rnacentral:rRNA from 1 species
AUUGAACGCUGGCGGCAGGCUUAACACAUGCAAGUCGAGCGGAGAUGAGGUGCUUGCACCUUAUCUUAGCGGCGGACGGGUGAGUAAUGCUUAGGAAUCUGCCAAUUAGUGGGGGACAACAUUCCGAAAGGAAUGCUAAUACCGCAUACGUCCUACGGGAGAAAGCAGGGGAUCUUCGGACCUUGCGCUAAUAGAUGAGCCUAAGUCGGAUUAGCUAGUUGGUGGGGUAAAGGCCUACCAAGGCGACGAUCUGUAGCGGGUCUGAGAGGAUGAUCCGCCACACUGGGACUGAGAAACGGCCCAGACUCCGACGGGAGGCAGCAGUGGGGAAUAUUGGACAAUGGGGGGAACCCUGAUCCAGCCAUGCCGCGUGUGUGAAGAAGGCCUUAUGGUUGUAAAGCACUUUAAGCGAGGAGGAGGCUACUGAGACUAAUACUCUUGGAUAGUGGACGUUACUCGCAGAAUAAGCACCGGCUAACUCUGUGCCAGCCGCCGCGGUAAAAC